GAAAGAUGGCUUUGGCUAUCACUCUGGGAUGGACCUGCGGUGCAUUAGCUAGUUGGUAAGGUAACGGCUUACCAAGGCGAUGAUGCAUAGCCGAGUUGAGAGACUGAUCGGCCACAAUGGAACUGAGACACGGUCCAUACUCCUACGGGAGGCAGCAGUAGGGAAUCUUCCACAAUGGGCGCAAGCCUGAUGGAGCAACACCGCGUGAGUGAAGAAGGGUUUCGGCUCGUAAAGCUCUGUUGUUGGAGAAGAACGUGCGUGAGAGUAACUGUUCACGCAGUGACGGUAUCCAACCAGAAAGUCACGGCUAACUACGUGCCAGCAGCCGCGGUAAUACGUAGGUGGCAAGCGUUAUCCGGAUUUAUUGGGCGUAAAGCGAGCGCAGGCGGUUGCUUAGGUCUGAUGUGAAAGCCUUCGGCUUAACCGAAGAAGUGCAUCGGAAACCGGGCGACUUGAGUGCAGAAGAGGACAGUGGAACUCCAUGUGUAGCGGUGGAAUGCGUAGAUAUAUGGAAGAACACCAGUGGCGAAGGCGGCUGUCUGGUCUGCAACUGACGCUGAGGCUCGAAAGCAUGGGUAGCGAACAGGAUUAGAUACCCUGGUAGUCCAUGCCGUAAACAAUGAGUGCUAGGUGUUGGAGGGUUUCCGCCCUUCA
rnacentral:rRNA from 1 species